UACGAAGGGGGCUGGCGUUGCUCGGAAUUACUGGGCGUAAAGGGCGCGUAGGCGGCACUGUUAGUCAGGCGUGAAAUUCCUGGGCUCAACCUGGGGACUGCGCUUGAUACGGCAGAGCUUGAGGAUGGAAGAGGGUCGCGGAAUUCCCAGUGUAGAGGUGAAAUUCGUAGAUAUUGGGAAGAACACCGGUGGCGAAGGCGGCGACCUGGUCCAUUACUGACGCUGAGGCGCGACAGCGUGGGGAGCAAACAGG
rnacentral:rRNA from 1 species